AUACGUAGGGGGCGAGCGUUGUUCGGAAUGAUUGGGCGUAAAGGGCGCGUAGGCGGCCCGGUAAGUCUGGAGUGAAAGUCCUGCUUUUAAGGUGGGAAUUGCUUUGGAUACUGUCGGGCUUGAGUGCAGGAGAGGUAAGUGGAAUUCCCAGUGUAGCGGUGAAAUGCGUAGAGAUUGGGAGGAACACCAGUGGCGAAGGCGACUUACUGGACUGUAACUGACGCUGAGGCGCGAAAGUGUGGGGAGCAAACAGGAUUAGAUACCCUGGUAGUCCACACUGUAAACGAUGAAUGCUAGGUGUAGGGGGUAUCGACCCCUUCUGUGCCGCAGUUAACACAAUAAGCAUUCCGCCUGGGGAGUACGGCCGCAAGGUUGAAACUCAAAGGAAUUGACGGGG
rnacentral:rRNA from 1 species